rnacentral:ncRNA from 1 species
AGCAGAAAAAGCCAAACCCGGGGACACACGGGGACGGAAAACCACGGAUCCUUUUAUGGAAAGCCGGAUUGCCUAC